rnacentral:rRNA from 1 species
UGCCUAUACUGCAAGUCGAGCGAUGAUGAGGAGCUUGCUCCUCUGAUUUAGCGGCGGACGGGUGAGUAACACGUGGGUAAUCUGCCUGUAAGACGGGGAUAACUCCGGGAAACCGGGGCUAAUACCGGAUAAUAAGAGAAGAAGCAUUUCUUCUUUUUGAAAGUCGGUUUCGGCUGACACUUACAGAUGAGCCCGCGGCGCAUUAGCUAGUUGGUGAGGUAACGGCUCACCAAGGCGACGAUGCGUAGCCGACCUGAGAGGGUGAUCGGCCACACUGGGACUGAGACACGGCCCAGACUCCUACGGGAGGCAGCAGUAGGGAAUCUUCGGCAAUGGGCGAAAGCCUGACCGAGCAACGCCGCGUGAGCGAUGAAGGCCUUCGGGUCGUAAAGCUCUGUUGUUAGAGAAGAACAAGUACGAGAGUAACUGCUCGUACCUUGACGGUACCUAACCAGAAAGCCACGGCUAACUACGUGCCAGCAGCCGCGGUAAUACGUAGGUGGCAAGCGUUAUCCGGAAUUAUUGGGCGUAAAGCGCGCGCAGGCGGUCUCUUAAGUCUGAUGUGAAAGCCCACGGCUCAACCGUGGAGGGUCAUUGGAAACUGGGAGACUUGAGUGCAGGAGAGAAAAGUGGAAUUCCACGUGUAGCGGUGAAAUGCGUAGAGAUGUGGAGGAACACCAGUGGCGAAGGCGGCUUUUUGGCCUGUAACUGACGCUGAGGCGCGAAAGCGUGGGGAGCAAACAGGAUUAGAUACCCUGGUAGUCCACGCCGUAAACGAUGAGUGCUAGGUGUUGGGGGGUUCCACCCUCAGUGCUGAAGUUAACACAUUAAGCACUCCGCCUGGGGAGUACGACCGCAAGGUUGAAACUCAAAGGAAUUGACGGGGGCCCGCACAAGCAGUGGAGCAUGUGGUUUAAUUCGAAGCAACGCGAAGAACCUUACCAGUCUUGACAUCCUUUGACCACUCUAGAGAUAGAGCUUUCCCCUUCGGGGGACAAAGUGACAGUG